AUUCCAUGAUGUGGACAUCUCCUUUGAAGAUUCUUGUAGCUCUCCCAUGCUUCAUAAUGGCUCUCAUCACACCUUGGUCUGAAAGAAGUCAUUCCUUAAUUUUGCAU